AUUCAGCAGGAUUUGAAACACUUUCCUGAAAGACAACACAGAGAGUCACCUCCUCUUAUUUUUCUUCUAAGGAGGCUGCUCCAAUUGCACUAUUUUCCAAGCAAACAAAGUUGUGAUCUUCAGAGAAAGACUUUUUUAGGCCCAGUUCAAGGCAGGAGUGUCGUCUGUACAGAGGAGCAUACAGAAAAGCAUGAAUAUGCUUUCUUAAAGAGUGAUACAACAAGAAAAGAACAAUAUCCAGGUUUAUGAUGUGCCCCUGUGUAAAACCAGUAUGGAGGGCUCAAACCCAAGGAUCUGCCCAACAUCUUUGAUCCCACAGGCGGAUGAGAGCUCACCACUGAACAUAUUGAGUAAGUCCGUGGCUGCCAGCAGGUUGCAGGAACUUGGAGAGAAGUUGCACUCCUUGCUGGAUAUGGGACUGGUAACAUGCUAACCUGCAGCUGGAGAGAACUCCGUGAGGGGAUCGGUUACCAUAACUAGCCCCAGAAGUCACUAGUGUACAAAAGUGUGGGAACCAGGGGAAGCCAAGUCUCAGAGGAUGUUGAAGGUGGUGCUCUUGAUUCCAAAUGUACAGAGUGCGAAAUCACUGCCAUCGGAAGAGAACAAUGCAAGAAAAGCUUUGCUUUACCAGCCUGCACUACAAAGGAUAAAAGAAAACAUGAGACAGCACCAAACAUGUCUCUCGGAAGUAAAGCAACAGCGUAACAGUGAUGCUUAAUCAGGAAGAAAGUCUGGUGACUAAUAAAAAUGAAUGGUCAGAGAAUGGAAACAGCCUUGGGAUGGCAGGCAUGCCCAGCCAGGUAUAGCACAGAUAAUAUUUAUUGCUUUACUUUUCUUGCAGUUGUUCUUAACUUGUUUUUCUUUUUUCUUUUUUCUUUUUUUUUUUUCCAAUUUCACAUCUGUUCUCUCUGAGGUGUCUUAAUUGCAGGGAACAAGAUGCUUGUAUUUCUUUAACACAUCAUAGAAUCAGAAAAUUGUUUGGGUCAGAAGGAACCUGAAAAAUCACUGAGCUCCAACCCUCCUGCCGGGGGCAGGGACACCUUUCACUAGACCGGGUUACGCAGGGCCUCAUCCAGCCCGGUCUUGGACACUUCCAGGAAUGGGACAUCCACAACCUCUCGUCGGUCUCUUCUCUACAAAGAACAUCUCUGCAAACAGCACUUACACGAGGCUUCUGUUUUACUGAAUAGUAACAUCAAAUCAGAGAAGCUGCCUAUGGCUGGGCUCUAUGUAAAUAAGAGAAAGAACGUACUGUAUGCUGUUAAUUCACCGGAAGGAAUCUGGACUAAGGCUGGACAAUGAUGGCUCCAAUGCAGACACGGCUGGACAAGGUGACAUGAUUUCUUGCUGCAUCUUUGGUGGCUCAAGAUUCCCGUGUGUCUCUGAGG